AACGAACGCUGGCGGCAGGCUUAACACAUGCAAGUCGAACGCCCCGCAAGGGGAGUGGCAGAUGGGUGAGUAACGCGUGGGAAUCUACCCAUCCCUACGGAAUAACGCAUGGAAACGUGUGCUAAUACCGUAUACGCCCUACGGGGGAAAGAUUUAUCGGGGAUGGAUGAGCCCGCGUUGGAUUAGCUAGUUGGUGGGGUAAAGGCCUACCAAGGCGACGAUCCAUAGCUGGUCUGAGAGGAUGAUCAGCCACAUUGGGACUGAGACACGGCCCAAACUCCUACGGGAGGCAGCAGUGGGGAAUAUUGGACAAUGGGCGCAAGCCUGAUCCAGCCAUGCCGCGUGAGUGAUGAAGGCCUUAGGGUUGUAAAGCUCUUUCACCGGAGAAGAUAAUGACGGUAUCCGGAGAAGAAGCCCCGGCUAACUUCGUG
rnacentral:rRNA from 1 species